rnacentral:lncRNA from 1 species
AGUACAGUCCUUUACUGUGGAUUGGCUGUGAGUUUCGACGGUAGCGCAAUCUCGCGGUUUGAAACUUAUACUUUUCUGAUAAAAUUUAUGUGAUAAGUGAAGUGACGUUUUGUUAUGUUAACUCAAAAUUUGUGAUUUUAAUUUUAAAAAAUAGUGCACAACUCUUUUAAUUUAUGUGUUGUAGGAUAACUUGAGUUAAUUCUGUAAAAUUCGUGUUGACUGACCAGAGUCCACGAAUAAUUUGUAUAACUUUACGAUGACUGAACAACAUAGAUUUGGAAGCAUCAUUCAACCUAUAACAUGUCAUGCUUGGAA